CUCCAGAUGUUGCUGAACUACAACUCCCAUGAUUCUCAGCCUAUUACAUUCAUAGAAUCAUGGGAGUUGUAGUUCAGCAACAUCUGGAG